rnacentral:snRNA from 1 species
GUGCUUGCUUCAGCAGCACCUAUACUAAAAAACUAGAAUGAUACAGAAAAGAUUAGCAUGGCCCCUGUGCAAGAAUGACAAGCAAAUUGGUGAAGUUUUCCAUAUAAAC